rnacentral:ncRNA from 2 species
GUCGGCCGCCAGGGGCACCGCGCCUUCGCCGAUUCAGGAGCGAUCGGAGCGGUUGAGAACGACCCUCGGAACCUGAUCCGGUUGAGACCGGCGUAGGGAGCGCGGCGCAUGGUAGAG